rnacentral:rRNA from 1 species
UAGCCGUAAACGAUGCGCGUUAGGUGUAUCGGUGACCACGAGUCACCGAGGUGCCGAAGGGAAACCGUGAAACGUGCCGCCUGGGAAGUACGGUCGCAAGGCUGAAACUUAAAGGAAUUGGCGGGGGAGCACAACAACGGGUGGAGCUUGCGGUUUAAUUGGAUUUAACGCCGGAAAUCUUACCGGGACCGACAGCAACAUGAAGGCCAAGCUGAAGACUUUGCCGGAUUAGCUGAGAGGAGGUGCAUGGCGUAGACGUCU